rnacentral:rRNA from 1 species
CAGCAGGCGCGAAACCUUUACACUGCACGCCAGUGCGAUAAGGGGACUCCAAGUGCGAGGGCAUAUCGUCCUCGCUAUCCUGUACUGUAGGGUAGUACAGUAUCAAGAGCUGGGCAAGACCGGUGCCAGCCGCCGCGGUAAUACCGGCAGCUCGAGUGAUGGCCAAUCUUAUUGGGCCUAAAGCGUCCGUAGCUGGCCGCGCAAGUCCGUCGGGAAAUCCAUCAGCCCAACUGAUGGGCGUCCGGCGGAAACUGCACGGCUUGGGACCGGAAGGCUCGAGAGGUACGUCCGGGGUAGGAGUGAAAUCCCGUAAUCCCGAACGGACCACCGAUGGCGAAAGCAUCUCGAGAAAACGGAUCCGACAGUGAGGGACGAAAGCUAGGGUCUCGAACCGGAUUAGAUACCCGGGUAGUCCUAGCCGUAAACGAUGUUCGCUAGGUGUGGCACUGGCUACGAGCCAGUGCUGCGCCGUAGGGAAGCCGAGAAGCGAACCG